rnacentral:RNase_P_RNA from 2 species
CUGGGGGGACGAGGCGAUCGCUGACAUGAAAAUGUUGGAGGAAAGUCCGAACUCCAUAGGGCAGAAUGCCGGGUAACGCCCGGUGGGGGUAACCCCAAGGAAAGUGCCACAGAAAAGAUACCGCCUCUCGAACGGGAGGUAAGGGUGAAAAGGCGAGGUAAGAGCUCACCGGUUUUCGUGGUAACACGAGAGCCUGGAAAACCCCAUUCGGAGCAAGACCAAAUAGGGAAGCGCUUGAGGAUGGCCCGUCCGAUGCUUCCGGGUAGGUCGCUUGAGGCGACGGGUGACCGUCGUCCCAGAGGAAUGAUCGCCGCCCGUUCUUCGGGAACAGAAUUCGGCUUAUUGUCCCCCCGGACUC